UAAAUACGUUAAGGGGAAAAAAUAAAACGAAGAAGAAUAUGACAGGGAUAUACCUGGUCCCGGCCAAGAUCCUGGUGGCAUCUCUACCCCGUUUGAGUCCUUAGCCUUUUCAGAGGGCCACCAUUACUUUUUCAGUUGUUCCUCAUUCCCGAAAAAUCCGUCUCCCAGAGACAGCAGAGAAGGAUAAAGAGGGAUACACAGAUCAAGAUGCAAGCAAGCAUCUCUCACUUAGCUUGAGAUUUUAGAGAAAAAGUUAUGGUAUUGGGCGGUUUCAUAAAUCUGCAUGGAAUCCGUAAAAAGCAGGCACUCUGGGAUGAGAGGAUAUCCCCAAGGCAUAUGCUAUUGCUACUUCUCAUAGGGCCACUUAUAAAGAUGCAUCUCAGGGCUUUCUCUUCUCCCAUAGCAGUCCAAUACACAUAAGCGACUCAGUUGCAGGGCUUCUCUUCUUUGGCAGGUGCUCAAAAUAAUGAAUACUGUGGAUUCACUUCAACCAUCCGACCUGCCAAAGGAGAGUUGCCCUGUAACUGAUUAUGCCUAAUUCGUUGAUUCAUAUUCUCUAUCUAUCUGCUUAUACAUAAGCACCAGAUAUAUAGCUGGAGGUCCGCACGUGGCCGAUGAGUUUUUUUUCUGAUGACGUGACGAUGAUCGAUCAUCACGGUAAUUGCAAGUGAAUUGAAUCUACGUACAGUAUUAUUGGGUGGAGAAUGGGAGAUUACUUGUGUGCGCUCAAGCAAACAAGGGAGAACAAUGGUGUUAAUGGGUCGCACAGGGAAUGGCAAGAGUGCAACUGGCAAGUACUAUUCUUGGAACACAAGCCUUCAAGUCUCAGGCUAGCAUUUCUGGUGUUACAUCCUUUUGUUCAUAUGCACGCUUCUCUGCACUCUCAUGACCUCAUUCUAAACGUCAUUGACACUCCAAUUUCCGGGGAUCUGAGAUCAAUGCAAUUGAGCAUAUUUUGCGUUGUCACUUGAUACGAUAUAUGCUGUUCUCAUUAUCUAAAACGGUGAUAUGCAAUAUCAGUCAACUGAAGAGGAUAUAUGGAGCGAAGGCCACUUUUGCUGAUACUCACCUGGAUAUAAGUUGUUCUCAUUAUCUAACAUGUAUUUUCAUAACUUCAACUGAAGAGGGUCACAUGCAAAUCGAGAAGAAGCUUUAUGGACCACAUGCAGAGGAUAUAAAUAACAACAUGAGAAUGCUGAGGAUAUCAAGGAUUGAUGACCUG